UCUGACUGGAUUAUCUCUACAAGUAAAAGCAGAUUAAAAGAUGAAGGAAGAAGAGGAGGAAAUUUCCAUUGUGGAUAAAUACAUCAACUUAGUUCCCUGCCAGCAGAAAAUCAAACCACAACAAGUCACGAUGUGCCUCAUGAUGAGGAUAGAGAUGGUUCCAGUGAAGGACACCCAGCUCAGCGGAUCUCCACUGAGGACAAACAACACCGCUGUGAUUGUGGAAAAGGCUUCAGGUGGUCGUGUGAACUGAAGGAAAAUCAGCGUAUCCACACCGGAAAAAAGCCCAAUGCCUGUAACCGGUGUGGGAAAAUUUCACCCCAGUCAGGAAAUUUGAAAACAACAUCAGAGUAUCCACACUGGAGAAAAGCCGUACGCCUGUGACUGGUGUGGGAACAGUUUCAUCCUGUGGGGAAGUCUGAAACGUCAUCAGAGAAUCCACAGUAAAGAAAACUCUUCUCCCACCUCCAUAAUA